GACGAACGCUAGCGGCGUGGAUUAGGCAUGCAAGUCGAACGGUAGGAUACCUUCGGGUAUCUGAGAGUGGCGAACGGGUGAGUAACACGUAGGUGAUCUACCCUCAAGAUUGGGACAACCCAGGGAAACUUGGGCUAAUACCGGAUGAAAGCAGCAGUGAUGUUGUUUGAAAGGUGGCGUAAGCUGCCGUUUGGGGAUGAGCCUGCGCUCUAUUAGUUAGUUGGCGGGGUAAAGGCCCACCAAGGCGAUGAUAGAUAGGCGGCCUUAACGGGUGGUCGCCCACACUGGGAUUGAGAUACGGCCCAAACUCCUACGGGAGGCAGCAGUCGAGAAUAGUCUACAAUGGCCGAAAGGCUGAUAGUGCGACGCCGCGUGAACGAAGAAGCCCUUGGGGUGUAAAGUUCUUUUAUAUGUGAGCAGUGCUUUCUAUGUGAACAGCAUGGGGAGAGAGAUAUUAGCAUAUGAAAUAAGCAACGGCUAACUCCGUGCCAGCAGCC
rnacentral:rRNA from 1 species